UGAGGAAUAUUGGUCAAUGGGCGCAAGCCUGAACCAGCCAUGCCGCGUGCAGGAAGACGGUCCUAUGGAUUGUAAACUGCUUUUAUACAGGAAGAAACCCUCCCACGUGUGGGAGAUUGACGGUACUGUAGGAAUAAGGAUCGGCUAACUCCGUGCCAGCAGCCGCGGUAAUACGGAGGAUCCAAGCGUUAUCCGGAAUCAUUGGGUUUAAAGGGUCCGUAGGCGGUCUUAUAAGUCAGUGGUGAAAUCCCAUCGCUCAACGAUGGAACUGCCAUUGAUACUGUAAGACUUGAAUACUUAGGAAGUAACUAGAAUAUGUAGUGUAGCGGUGAAAUGCUUAGAUAUUACAUGGAAUACCAAUUGCGAAGGCAGGUUACUACUAAGUGAUUGACGCUGAUGGACGAAAGCGUGGGGAGCGAACAGG
rnacentral:rRNA from 1 species